AAAGAUUAAGCCAUGCAUGUCUAAGUAUAAACGACUUGAUCGUGAAACCGCGAAUGGCUCAUUAUAACAGCUAUAAUUUACUUGAUCUUGACACAAUCCUACUUGGAUAACUGUGGUAAUUCUAGAGCUAAUACAUGCAUUAAAGCUCUGACCGUAAGGAAAGAGUGCAUUUAUUAGAACAAAACCAAGCGGCCUUCGGGCUGUUUUCGGUUGACUCAUAGUAACUGAGCUGAUCGCAUGGGCUUGUCCCGGCGACGUGUCUUUCAAGUAUCUGCCGUAUCAACUUUCGAUGGUAGUGUAAUUGACAACCAUGGUGAUCACGCGUAACGGAGAAUAAGGGUUCGACUCCGGAGAGUUCGCCUGAGAAAUCGCGAACACAUCUAAGGAAGGCAGCAGGCGCGAAAAUUACCCACUUUCAGCACGAGGAGGUAGUGACGAAAAAUAACGAGACUGUUCUCUUAUGAGGCCAGUCAUCGGAAUGGGUACAAUUUAAACCCUUUAACGAGUAUCUAUGAGAGGGCAAGUCUGGUGCCAGCAGCCGCGGUAAUUCCAGCUCCCAAAGUGCAUAGAAUUAUUGCUGCGGUUAAAAAGCUCGUAGUUGGAUCUGUGCCAUAGGACUGGGUCCACCUUCUAGGUGCGUACUCAGCUCCUUGGCUUACACUGUCGGUUUAACCCGUCGUGGCCUUUACUGGUUGCGGCGGGUGGCUGGCGAGUUUACUUUUGAGAAAAUCAGAGUGCUCAACACAAGCGUCUUGCUUGAAUGAUUGUGCAUGGAAUAAUAGAAAAGGAUUUCGGUCCUCUUUUAUUGGUUUUGUGGACUGAGAUAAUGGUUAACAGGGACAAACGGGGGCAUUCGUAUCUCGGUGUGAGAGGUGAAAUUCUUGGACCAUCGAGAGACGCCCUACUGCGAAAGCAUUUGCCAAGAAUG
rnacentral:rRNA from 1 species